CUUUCGGCAGACCGUCGCCCCGCUGCUCAGUCGGCGCUGAGCUCUCGUCGGGGCUGACCUGUUGGCGGGGCUGUGCUCACGGCCGCACCCUCUCCUCGGCUGUGCCGUCCUCUCGGCCGCGCCAGCCCCGCACCGAGCUCCACAGCCUGCGCUCCUCAGGCCCCCACCCAGCGCUGCGGGCGCGGUCCGACCAGGCGGCGCGGGACGGGUGACCGCCGGCGCACCGAGUUGGAGUUUUUGAGGAACUUGACAAACAUAUUCUAAAAUGUAUGUGAAAGGAAAA